GCUGCUCUUCAUUCAGCUGUUAGUGAUGCUGCGUGUCUUUGCAGGUAAAGAGCACAUUUGUGUUUCAAAUGUAUUUAUUUUUAUUCCAGAUUACAUACAGAUGUUAUUUUAUAUUGACUGAUUGUUUCCAUUGAACUUUAGUGAAGCUUGAAGAAAACAACAGAGUUAUGUUGGCAUUCAGAGGAGAUCCAGUGACGCUGACUUGUAACAUAUCUGAGAAAAAUGCAUCACAUAUCUCCUGGACAAACAGCAGAUCUGUUUUUCAAUAUGCUAUUGAGACGAAUCGCACCCAUUCAAAUUUCUCAUCGAACAAACUUAAAAUAAAUCCCGAGUUACCUAUAAAUCUGAUUAUUUUUAGUGCUCAACCUGAGGAUGAAGGACUUUAUACAUGUAGCAUAACUGACCCAGAUGGCCUACACACCAUUACAUGGAAUUUAAAAGUGUCUGAGAACCCAGAAGAAUCGAUUUCAUCAAAGUAUUUUACAUUCAUACUUCCAUCUGCAAUUGAUUCCUUCUGUGUGGCAUCACACUGGCUGUCUUCUUCUACAGAUGUUGCACCAGGACCCCGAACCAGGACCUUCAUCAUAUCAGGACCUUGAGUUUUGUUCAUUAUCAUGUUCAGCUGGGAGGAAAGGUGGUCCUUCCACAACCUCAGAGUUUUGCAGUGUACAGGACAGGCAGCACACUGAGAGACUCAGUCCAUGUGGCCAUCUUGGGAGAUGGCCACAGUGUCACAAUUCCCACCUUGAAGUGAAAGUGGAUGUCAAAGAAACACUGCAAGUGAUGUCUUUUCACUGAUUAAAAACCCCCAAACAAAAGUAUUUAUUCCCAAUUGCCAGUCUUGAUCCCAUCCACCAGGACCUCCCCUCCUGGCCACUGCCCGGCGCUUCCUGCGAGCAGUGGGUCUGCAGGAAGAUGAGCCCAAGCCCCUUUCUUCGGGCUGUGCCCAGCAGGGCCCCACGGACUAAGGCCCGGUCACCAGACGCUAUUUAACUGUUUGUAGCCUGACGCAGUUUCCUGUUUUGUUGUGUUUUUCCAAAUGAUAAUAUAAAACAUGAAAAUUGCAAUAAACAUAUUAUACUUAUUAUACAUAUUAUAUACUAUAUUAUAUGAGUGUUUAGUCUUUUUUUUCUUUUUUUUUUAGUUUUUUACUCAAAAAAUAAAGUUGAAAGACAUGAUUCUGGAAGUUAGUUUAGCAUAGAUAAGUGUUCAUUAUACCGAAUGUGAAAUUCAGCGCCCACUAGACACUCCGUACAAACUGAUAUUUUAAUAGCUAACUGACAGAUCGUUAGGUCUACUGUCAGACCUCGAUGGCACAGAGGUUCAUCAUUGUGAACAAAACCAAGACACUCCGUACGGUUCUCACUUACUAGCAGGGAAGUCACGUGUGUGUGUGUAUGUGCACGUGCACGUGACUGAGUGCAUGUAUGUGUCUCUGUAUAUGUGACUUCCUCCCACACAAUAUAUGCUUACAACUGUUUAACCACAUUUCCUAGUUAUCCAAAGGUCAUCUCCCCUCACCGUAUAUGGCUUAACUUAAUGUUUCAGCAUAUACAAGCACAGACGAGCCCCUAAAUGGCCGGGAGUGAACAUCCUUUACCAGAUAAGUAACCAGAACCUUUAGAUAGAAUGUGCCUGCAGUUAAACACUAUAACUAAUUGACUCCCCGACAGGAACAG
ensembl:lncRNA